rnacentral:tRNA from 1 species
GGUAAAAUGGCUGAGCUUUAGGCAAUAAAUUGUAAAUUUAUUAACGAAUUUAAUUUCUUUUACCA